UACGUAGGGUGCAAGCGUUAAUCGGAAUUACUGGGCGUAAAGCGUGCGCAGGCGGUUAUGUAAGACAGGUGUGAAAUCCCCGGGCUUAACCUGGGAAUUGCGAUGGAGACUGCAAGGCUAGAAUCUGGCAGAGGGGGGUAGAAUUCCACGGUGGUAGCAGUGAAAUGCGUAGAGAUGUGGAGGAACACCGAUGGCGAAGGCAGCCCCCUGGGUCAAGAUUGACGCUCAUGCACGAAGCGUGGGGAGCAAACAGGAUAG
rnacentral:rRNA from 1 species